UGGUGGAGUGAUUUGUCUGGUUAAUUCCGAUAACGAACGAGACUCUGUCCUGCUAAAUAGGCCCGACCUUUUUUCUUUUCAGCUUGUGGUAGCGUUGUUCGGUUUUGGGUUGUGGCAAGGUUCGCCUUGUCGCGGCUCUUGCCUUGCAACGUCCCAGGCUGCGGGUCGGGAGUCUCUU
rnacentral:rRNA from 1 species